rnacentral:tRNA from 1 species
GGGGUUGUAGCUCAGUGGUAGAGUGCUUGCCUAGCAUGUGUGAGGCACUGGGUUCAAUCCUCAGUAUCCCA